rnacentral:rRNA from 1 species
AGCGAACGCUGGCGGCAGGCCUAACACAUGCCAGUCGAACGAACCUUUCGGGGUUAGUGGCGGACGGGUGAGUAACACGUGGGAACGUGCCUUUAGGUUCGGAAUAACUCAGGGAAACUUGUGCUAAUACCGAAUGUGCCCUUCGGGGGAAUGAUUAAUCGCCUUUAGAGCGGCCCGCGUCUGAUUAGCUAGUUGGUUGAGGUAAUGGCUCACCACGGCGACGAUCAGUAGCUGGUCUGAGAGGAUGAUCAGCCACAUUGGGACUGAGACACGGCCCAAACUCCUACGAGAGGAAGCAGUGGGGAAUCUUGCGCAAGGGGCGAAAGGCUGACGCAGCCAUGCCGCGUGAAUGAUGAAGGUCUUAGGAUUGUAAAAUUCUUUCACCGGGGACGAUAAUGACGGUACCCGGAGAAGAAGCCCCGGCUAACUUCGUG